rnacentral:misc_RNA from 1 species
UACGUAGGGUCCUAGCGUUGUCCGGAUUUACUGGGCGUAAAGCGUGCGCAGGCGGUUGUGCAAGACAGAUGUGAAAUCCCCGGGCUUAACCUGGGAAUGGCAUUUGUGACUGCACGACUAGAGUGUGUCAGAGGGGGGUAGAAUUCCACGUGUAGCAGUGAAAUGCGUAGAUAUGUGGAGGAAUACCGAUGGCGAAGGCAGCCCCCUGGGAUAACACUGACGCUCAUGCACGAAAGCGUGGGGAGCAAACAGG